rnacentral:rRNA from 1 species
GACGAACGCUGGCGGCGUGCUUAACACAUGCAAGUCGAACGGAAAGGCCCUGCUUUUGUGGGGUGCUCGAGUGGCGAACGGGUGAGUAACACGUGAGUAACCUGCCCUUGACUUUGGCAUAACUUCAGGAAACUGGGGCUAAUACCGGAUAGGAGCUCCUGCUGCAUGGUGGGGGUUGGAAAGUUUCGGCGGUUGGGGAUGGACUCGCGGCUUAUCAGCUUGUUGGUGGGGUAGUGGCUUACCAAGGCUUUGACGGGUAGCCGGCCUGAGAGGGUGACCGGCCACAUUGGGACUGAGAUACGGCCCAGACUCCUACGGGAGGCAGCAGUGGGGAAUAUUGCACAAUGGGCGGAAGCCUGAUGCAGCAACGCCGCGUGCGGGAUGACGGCCUUCGGGUUGUAAACCGCUUUCGCCUGUGACGAAGCGUGAGUGACGGUAAUGGGUAAAGAAGCACCGGCUGACUACGUG